rnacentral:misc_RNA from 1 species
GUUCCGUAGGUGAACCUGCGGAAGGAUCAUUAUUGUUUAACCGAGGUGCGAGGGCAGUCGCUGACCCGAAAGGUCGUGCACGCCCGAGUGCCCUCACACACAUCCAUCUCACCCCUAUGUGCACCACCGCGUGGGUCCCCCUUUGGCUUGUUCGGAGGGGGGCUUACGUUUUCACACAAACUUUGUAUGCAGUGUAGAAUGUAUUUUUUGUUUUUGCGAUCACGCAAUCAAUACAACUUUCAACAACGGAUCUCUUGGCUCUC